rnacentral:rRNA from 1 species
UACAGAGGUCCCGAGCGUUGUUCGGAUUCACUGGGCGUAAAGGGUGCGUAGGCGGGUCUUUAAGUCAGGGGUGAAAUCCUGGAGCUCAACUCCAGAACUGCCUUUGAUACUGCGAGUCUUGAGUCCGAUAGAGGUGGGUGGAAUUCCUAGUGUAGAGGUGAAAUUCGUAGAUAUUAGGAAGAACACCAGUGGCGAAGGCGGCCCACUGGAUCGGUACUGACGCUGAGGUGCGAAAGCGUGGGGAGCAAACAGG